UCGGUCGGAUCACAAAAAGAUGCAGCAGCAGCAGCACCAGCAGCAGCCGCGCCAGUAGUAGCCAGUAGCCGAUCAACCCGAGCUUAGAAUUUUCAAAAAAAAAACAACUCGAAAACUAUGAACUAAACAACAACAAAAACCAACGAAACACGGUGGCUCUGCUGGGAAAUCAAGUACAACUGCUGCAACAACAACAAAAACAAC
rnacentral:sRNA from 1 species